UAGUAGUGUAGUUUCUUUUUUGCCUUGUUGUUCGCUGCUGCAACACGUGUGGUGAAUUUAUUCAGUGCGUUAAGUUUGAUGUACAUAGCUCGUUCAUUGGCAAUAAAAAUAAUUUGAAUCAGGAAUAGGAUAUGAUAUAGGUUUUGCCUUGGACCAUGUAUGUACAUCAUUGGGCCCCAUUUCUACACAGUCCUAAUUUUUAUAAACCUGUAAAAUAUCU
rnacentral:lncRNA from 1 species